CGUAUUCAUCAGCUUUUUUUCAAAACUUGCCAUUUAUUGUGAUUUUGUUUCAGGUUGUAAAUAAAUAUUUCACUUCUUUCCAAUUUUUCAUGCUUUAUUCUGAACUCUUGUUCUUCCCUUUUUUUUGAGACAGGGUCUACUGUGUCUCCCAGGCUGGGGUGCAGUGGCAUGAUCUCGGCUCAUUGCAGCCUCAGCCUCCUGGGCUCAAGUGAUCCUCCUACCUGAGCCUCCUGGGUAGUAGCUGGGACCACAGGCGCCGCCACACGUGGCUAAGUUGUUUCAUUUUUUGUAGAGACGGGGUCUCUCUGUGUUGCCCAGGCUGGUCUCAAACUCCUGAGCUCAAGCCAUCCUUCCUCCUCGGCCUCCCAAAGUGCUGGGAUGGCAGGUGUGAGUCACCGCGCCCGGCCUGUGCUUUUUCUUAAGGAGAGCCCCAAACAAUAUGAGCCUCAACAGCCAAGACGGGCGCCAUCCUCUCUCCUCAGCAACUUACACUGAGUCCCGGCAGGAGGGCCCUUGUGCCCCCCAACCCUCCCUCUUUUUAUCAGACCCCUUGCAAACUGCAGCUUGAGUCCUGUCGUCCACCUGUGGGGAGCAGGCUGGGGCCGCUGCAGGGCCUGGAAGAUGGGUCCAGACUCACUGACUCCAAUCCCCCAACCCCACAUUGCUCGGCCCCUCAGCAGGGCUGGCACCUCGGGCUGGGACCUCUGCCUUGAGGACUUUUCCCCUUGGGCUCCAGGCACCGGGGGUCCCACUUCCCACCUCUCUGCCCCUGGUGGCUCCUUUUCUGGCCCCUCCUGUUCUGACCUCUGAACCCACCGCCCCAGGGCUGUCCUUGGUGUCACCUGGUCCCUAGGCUCUAACGCCCUCUGCAAGUGCAAGUGGCCAGGGGCCACCCAGGUCCAUGUAAACCUGAGCACAGAUGCCGAGCUUCCCUGGACCUGCCCCCGCCAGCCUCCCAAACCUUGGGAUCCUCCAC
rnacentral:lncRNA from 10 species